CGGAUUGUAGUCUGCAACUCGACUACAUGAAGCCGGAAUCGCUAGUAAUCGCGGAUCAGAAUGCCGCGGUGAAUACGUUCCCGGGUCUUGUACACACCGCCCGUCACACCAUGGGAGCCGGAAAUGCCCGAAGUCAGUGACCCAACCAAUAAGGAGGGAGCUGCCGAAGGCAGGUCUGGUGACUGGGGUGAAGUCGUAACAAGGUACC
rnacentral:rRNA from 1 species